AUCUAGCUGACGAGUCCCAAAUAGGACGAAACGCCCGUUCUGCAU
rfam:Schistosoma rodhaini strain Burundi genome assembly, scaffold: SROB_scaffold0000034